rnacentral:lncRNA from 1 species
GUUCCUUUAGUCCUUUAGUCUGUUCCUUUAGACCUUCAAACAUACUUAUGGUAGUUUUUUAAAGUCUUUGUUCAGUAAGUCCAACAUCUGUACUUCCUCAGGCCAAGUUUCUGUGUUUGCUUUUUCCCCUUGUGCAUGGUCCAUACUUUCCUGUUUUUUUUUUUGUAUGUUUCAUCAUUUUUUUUUUCAAAACUAGAUACUUAAAAUGAUAUAAUGUGACAACUCUUGAGAUCAGAUUCUUUCCUCCACAGGUCUUUUUGUUGCUGUUGGUUUUCAUUAUCUCUGUUGGCUAAGUGGCUUUUGGGCUUAAUUACCUAAAAUUUGUUUUAUUUAUGAUAUGAGGCCACUCAUGUCUCUGUUUGGUUGGGUUAACCGUCAAUGAAUUUUUGUCUUUUUGAAAAUUAACUCUCCUUGAAUUGUUGCAAGACUUUAGUUAACAUCCAGAGUUCUGAAAAAGUUUGAUUAUUCCAGUAUUUGCAUUGUUUUUACACGGGAGUGGCUUUUCUGAGGUCUUUUCAUCACUAUUCCAGAAGUGUUUCCUUUUGCAUAUUUCCUAUUGAGUUAUACCAAAACUAAUGAAAAAUGCACCCCUCUGAGGAUUCCUAGCCCCAUUUGUCUCACAUCGUCUUUUCCAGAAAUGCUGUUAAAUUCUGUGGAUCUGAACAUCAGAUUGUCUUGUGAGCAGAGAAUUUUAUUUUGAAUUCAUUUUUGUAUGACAUUAUUCAAAGGUACUUACUGUAUGUCAUUAGAAACAACGUUGAAACUUGUGACUGAAUCCUAUUCUUCCCAUCUGUUCUACUUCGCAUAAUCAAGGAGUUUACAAAGAAACUGCCCUAUGGAUUGGGAGUGAGGAAAGGAAUAGGAGAGUGUUUUCACCUACGAAGAAAUAAAGGAAACAACCACUUCAAAUUUAUCCUAUUCUACCAUGAAGACUACUUGUGGGAAGAGAGGAAAAUACUUUUUGCCUCCUGCAAAACAAAGUCCAUCUGAUGGAAGUGUGGGAACAGGUGAAAAUUGACCAAAGUCAUGUGAAGGCCUGGAAAACAAUUAAAAAGCAUGUAAGCAAACAAACUAUGACAGUGGAUUAAAAAAAAAAACAACUAUUUGUGACCUAUUUCUUUUAUUCCUCCAACUUACUGUGGAUGUGGUUUUUAAUUCUGCCUGCUGAGAUAAUAUGCUCCUGGGACCAUGAUCUUUCAGAAGAGUAUCUAAUUUAGUCACAGCUAUGACUAACGUGACUCUUGGGGCACUUCAAAUUUACAAAGACACACUGUGAAAAACUGACUGGCAGUAGACUAGUUGGAAUUACUUGGUUCAAGAAUGGUUUGGUGUUUUCUGCCUCCACUGAUUCUUGGGAAGAGAAAAGGAAAUGACAUUUGUAGAAUGCAUACUUGACCAGGC